rnacentral:lncRNA from 1 species
UGAGCCAAAAAUUCGUCCGAAAACUCAAGUUAUGGCUCCAACCAUUACUACAAACAAAUCCGCUUACUUAUUGCUUUUGAUUUGGAAGCGCCGCCUUCAACUCCUUACAACUCCUUCAUAUGAACUCCAAAAGCAAUAAUUCUUUUAUGAAAGAUUUAGGCCUUGAAAUUGUCGUUCCAGUCGCACCUUUCUAUCUUCAAAAGCUACUGUAAAACUCCUCAUACCUUCAAAAGAGUAACAAUAUAUCUUAAAUAAAUACCUUAACUUCAAAUGGCUAUAACUUAUUCAUCCUAAUUCCAAAUCUUCUAAUUUUUAUACACAAAUUGUACUCUAAAUCCUAAAAUUUACAACCUUAGCUUCUAAUCUCCGGAUGCCCUCUUUGAAGUCACCGAAAUCCUUCUUAAGAUCACAAGCAGCCUCCUCAAAGCCCAUUGGGCAUGGUAUUCGACCAAUAGGGAUGAAGUUCCCCAUUCCUUACCUUCAUCCGACCAUGCUUUGCUUUCAUCCC